ensembl:lncRNA
GGAAGGAAAACAGGAAGAGAAGGCGGGGCAGAUAGUGCUACGUGGAAUACGUGACCUACGUGUCCUACGUGUCCUACGUGACCUAGGCCGAAUGUAGUGAUUGUUUCUGAUUGGGGCAUGCGCAGGAAGGGAGCAGGGAAGGAUGCAAGGUAACUGUCUCCCUGGCUGUGCCGUCCUUCCAGGGUCUCUAAUCUAUGGAGGAGAAAGGGAGCAGGAAAAAGACGAAGGGCCAUCUUCAGGCUCGGCCUGAGCCACAGGCCUAGGACUCUGGAAAAAGGACCUUUGCUUGGAAUGUCCCAGCGCCCUAAGAACAGCAGCAGCACCGGAUGUAGUCUCUGCUUCCGGUUGUCAUCAGCCAAUGAGAGAAGGUUAAAGAGAACACUAGCGUUUUCCCACAGGAGAAUGCGAGUCGUUGGAGUUGCUGUUGAUGGUGAGAACGGGCAGGGAGACCUCUCUGAACUUACAUACGUUGGAAGCAGUUCCAGAAUACCUAAGCCAAGGAUGAAAAGGAGAAGAAAAGGAACAGGAAGAUGAAACAGAGGAACCAGAACAAGAAGAAUUUGAAAUAGCUAGGCAUGGUGGUACAUACAUGUAAUACCAGCACUCUGGAAGGCUGAGGCAGGAGGAUCACAAGUUUGAGCUCAGCCUAGAUAAUUUAGUGACUUAGAACACUCUGUCUUGGGCCAGGGAUUUAGCUCAGUGGUUCUGCAGCCUGUUUCGCAAGCCCAAGCUCCCAAGUUCGAUCCCUUGUACAAAAAAAAAAAAAAAAAGAAACACUCUGCCUCAAAAUUAAAAAUAAAAAGUGCUAGGGAUAUAGCUCAGUGUGAAGGCCCUCAGGUCAAUCUCCGAUACUGAAAAAACAAAAAAAAGAAAAAAAAAGGAAAAAAGAAUUUCAGAUAUUAGAGGAUAAUACAAAGAUUAAGAGAUAACAUAGUUCAAAAUGAUAAUCUAUAAUGUGACGUGUAAGAAUUAAUAUAAAAUAGAAGAACUCCAUUAACCAAAAUGGAAAAUAAGGUCCUAUAACUCAACAAUACAAAAAAGAACUCAGAGAUUAAAUUGAAAAAUUAACACAAAUUCUUUAUUCUUUUUACAAGAUUGUUGCUGUUACCACAGUAAUUUGAGUAGUGUCCUGUCUGAUAUCAUUCUGCCUCUUUCUACAAGUUAUGUAAAACCAUUUUGUCUUAGUUAAUUUUCUCAUUGCUGAGACAAAAUAUCUGACACCCAAAGUAAAAGGAGAAAAGGUUUAAUUGGGUCACAGUUUGUAGAGGUUUCAGUCCAUAGUCAGCUGGCUCCAAGGCAGGGUGGCCUGGCAGAGGGGCAUCGCAAAGGAGAAACAGUUCAUGGGCAGCAGAAGGCAGUGAAGCACCAAGCAGCAAGAGACAAGUGAUGACCCUAUUUCUGUCCCUUCUAUUCCAUCCAGACUACCUACCCUUAGGGCAGGUAGCACUUACACCCAGGGUGGAGUACCCUUAAUCCUAUCCAGAACCAUGCCAAACCAAUCAGUGGACUAAUUUACUAAUCACACACCCCUGAUCCCAGCAUCACACACUUAAUCCCAUCACCACACACUCUAGGUCCAGCCACCUCAAAAGCCCCACCUCUGAUCGUGUGAGGCCUGGGGUGGGGGGGUGGAGUUAGACACCUUGUAUACUUCAGUACCCAGUUUUGUUUUUUCUUUUUUCUCUAGGAUUAUACUUAUUUUAAAAGAACUGGUUUUUUUCACAAGAUGCUGUCUGGGCAUAAGAAAAAGGAAGAUGAGCCUAAAACUAUUUUCUCCCUGCAGACAGCAAAGAUACUUUCAGAGGCACCUGGUGUUAAAGCACCGAGAGAUGUCCUGAAGAGAGGGCUCCUAGUGACAACUUGGGGUGCAGGAAAGGAAGCCACAUGCACCAUCAGUUAGUAUGUGUCUUCAUUACCACAGUGUCCCUUGAGAUUUUCAAUUCCUACAGUUCUUUUAUUUUUUUCUUUUUUGGUCUUCAGCCCAGACAUUCUGGAAUUUUUUCCAACACAUGGAGGUCCAGAUGAGCCUCUCUCAGGAAUAAAAUCACAAAUCGAACAUGGGCAGCCAAUAUGAUAAGUGGAAUCAACAGAAACUUAAAGAUAUGAAUAUCAGUAAGCAAUUUCUUGGUUUCCUUUAAAAAGUACUUUUUAGCCGAGCAUGGUGGCGCAUGCCUGUGAUGCCAGCACUUGGGAGAUGGAAGAAGGAGGAUCGCUGCAAGCCUGAGGCCAGCCUGGGCUCCAUAAUGAGCUCAAGGCCAGCCUAGGCUACAUAGAGAGGCCCUGUCUCCCCCAAAAAUAAAAUAAAUAAAUACAUAAUAUAAACAUGUAUACUUCUUUUGUCUUCU